UGGGGAAUAUUGCACAAUGGGCGCAAGCCUGAUGCAGCCAUGCCGCGUGUAUGCAGAAGGCCUUCGGGUUGUAAAGUACUUUCAGCGGGGAGGAAGGUGUUGAGGUUAAUAACCUCAGCAAUUGACGUUACCCGCAGAAGAAGCACCGGCUAACUCCGUGCCAGCAGCCGCGGUAAUACGGAGGGUGCAAGCGUUAAUCGGAAUUACUGGGCGUAAAGCGCACGCAGGCGGUCUGUCAAGUCGGAUGUGAAAUCCCCGGGCUCAACCUGGGAACUGCAUUCGAAACUGGCAGGCUAGAGUCUUGUAGAGGGGGGUAGAAUUCCAGGUGUAGCGGUGAAAUGCGUAGAGAUCUGGAGGAAUACCGGUGGCGAAGGCGGCCCCCUGGACAAAGACUGACGCUCAGGUGCGAAAGCGUGGGGAGCAAACA
rnacentral:rRNA from 1 species